CUCUCCUAGGUAUAAAAGAGAAGGGCAUAUUGAUUAAUCAAAUAAGGCAGGAAAAAAAUACUGAAAAAUGUCUCUGCUGUCACACUUAGAAACAAAACCCCCACAUAGAUGGGAGAACCUCAUUGGUAAGCAAUGCCCUACAUCAGCGGUUCCCAGCCUUGACUACCGCUGCAGGAGAAAAUGCAGACCUAGAGAAGGUAAAGGACAUUCACUUGAGAGAGAUCAUUCCCCUUUGCGCAGAAGUUCCAACACCUGAAUGGCCCGUAAAGCUAAAGUACUGCAAAGGUGAUUUCUUGGCUCCAUGUUUGUUUUUUUUUAACUACGUGAAUUAAAUCUGCAUAUUCCACAAGCACUCCUUUUAAUGUUUUUUAUCUCUCCCAACUAAUAUGGUGUCUCUGUAGGUAUUUCCAAAAUCAUUCACCUCUGCAGCAUUGAUGAUAUCAACCUGCAUAGCUUCUGGAUGCCAGCACCCAAUGCAAAGGUUAUGCUAUUCAAUAGAUACUAUUGCAUUAAACCCUCAGUAAAAUAAUUGAGACUUUUAUAGCUGACUUACUUUUUCUUCAGAAGACUAGAAACUUGAAGGCUAUUAAGCGUAUUUAACAGAGUUUAAUGCAAAUCUCACCUGUUCUAUGAGGUCAAAAGAAAACCAGUCAAAGCAAUUGUGAAGGUAUGUACAUUCAUAUACAUUCAUAUGGGAAAGAAAGGACAAUAUUUAAUUUUUAAUAAGACUGAAAACUAUGAAAGAAAUUAGUCUUUUAAUUAGUUAAUCCAGCAAGAUAACAAUUUAAAAAAAAAAGGGGGGGGGGGAAGAGUAAGCUUAGGUGAUGGCAAAACAGAUAACUUCAUCUGUUUUGUUCCACAGCCAGAAGAAUCUGAAGAUUGAAGCAAGGCUUGAAUUUAUAAGCAGACCAUGCUGUCUUUUUAAUUACUCCUCUCCCUCCCUCUCCAUCCACCAUAAAGGUAGUAAUAAACUCUACGUCCUUUUUGUCAUCAGUAGCAGGUAAGGAAAAGCACGUGCUGUAGGUUGUCUGGGUCACACACAUGCAGAUUGGCAGGAACCAGCUGCUGCUGGAGGCAAUAAUCCAGGUUUCCUUCCUUUACUUUUUGAACUUUCUAAGAACACAGAAUAACACAGAGACUUUGACUGAAUUUGACUGAAUUGAGCAGCUGGCUAAAAGCUUCUAUGUGGUGGUAGGGAACAGGGAGAGAAAACAGACACACAGAGAAAGCACUUAUAAGAGAGAAACAGAGGCAGAAAAAAGAAAACACUCUCUAGGAAAAGGAAAACACUCUCUGUAGACACCUCGGCACACAGAAUUUUGCUCUGUUGGAGCAUGAAAGGCAAACACUGAGUAUGGUUUUGUUUACAGCAUGCUUUCAGCUGUCAUCACAUUUACUUUUUUUUUUUGUUAUUUGAUUUUUAAAAUAUUUUAUAAAUAUAUAUAUAUACAUAUUAUAGAAGUAUGAAUUUCAAUUUAAUACUUAACACUAGCAUAUAGUUUUGUAUUUUAAAAAAUUUUAAAAGCCAGUAACUGCUGCCUAGAGUGCAACUAUGAAAUCAGCCAUAGUCUUACUCAGUUGAGACAGGCAGCUAUCAAGCCCAAGUUUUGAUUGAGCCACCAUAUAGUAAAAUCAGGACCCCUGACUAAGGGAAAUUAUUUGCAUCUGACUCCAAGACUUCAGAAUGCUGAAUACUCGCUUUAUUAACACUAUAUUAUAUUACAUUAUACUAUACUAUAACUAUACUACAAAGAAUACUAAGGAAUACUUACCACUAACUAACAACUCGUGAUUGUCUGCAGACCAACAGUCCACACAGCUUGGACCUGAUUACCUAAUUAACAUAAACAAUCUCCACCAGAAUCCAAUUACCAAAUUCCUUCAAGUAAACAACCUUUCGAAAGCAUUCCAAAAGUGCAAAGCACCAGGAGCAGCAAGCAGAGAUAAAAAUUGUUUGUCCUCUCUGCUUCUCCAGGAAAAAACCUGAGAGAGAGAAUUAUGUCUGUCUCUGUUCAGAGGGCAUGUGAAUACCAUACCACCACAUGUUUAGACUAUCACAAAACACAACUCUUAAUCGCACAUAGCAAACUGGCUCGAUCCCAAGAAAACAUUCAGCUCCACAACUAGUCCAACACCUUCCGAACUUUGCCAAUAGGCCAGGAGGGAGCAACAGCAGCAGAGAAGUUCUCUCCCUGGUGGACAGGACAGCUCUGAUUAACCUGCCAGCUGAGCAGAAAGCAGAACAUUGUAACCUCCAGCAGUCUGUAUAGGAUGGGAAGCCACCUGCUAUAUCAGCAUAAAGAAAGCUCAAAUGAAAACUCAGCUUUGGAAAGGGGAAGGAUAAACCCAAGGGUAAGGUUUCUCGGAUAGUCCAGCAGACCUAGCUGACCCCUGGCUCUCCUCCCCCCUCUGCUGCUCCUCUUUGCACCUCCUGGAAUGUGUCUGGCCCCGCAGCGAGCUGAUUCAGCUUUCCAGACCACAGGAGAAGUAACUUGACCCCUGACACAAGAGAACAAAGGGGUUUUUUGCGGAGUAAAUCAGCCUCAGAGGUGGGCAGCGGGGCUCCCCCAGGGAAGCAGUGAAGUCACAGGAGGGGGAAGGGACGGGCGGUGCCUCUGGCAGACAGCUCCCGGCGGAGUCAGCCGUGCCCACAGAAGAGCGGGAAACGUCUUCACACCACCACAAAUACUCCUGCAUUCUAGAAUUUUAGGCAUGACCACUAAAUAAGGAGAAGUCGACCAGAGGAAGACCGAGGAAGACUAGCAGCCUUCAUCAGACGGCUACCAGCAGAGGACGACCCCUUAGCAACAAGAAGACAGAUGCGCAGAGUACUUUCUGGACACAUCACCAACGAGAAGAGAUACAGUAUAAAAAUUAGACUGUAUCGAAUAGUGGGUGCGGCAGUCCUUGGCCAGCGGAGGCUCCCCUGUCGCCCAGCGCUGAUUUUGCUUAUGCCUUGCUUGCUGUAAUUAAUAAAUUCCAAUUGGACUAA